rnacentral:RNase_P_RNA from 1 species
AGAGUGUGUCGGAUGGUCGCGGGAAGAUACUGAGGUAUCUUUCUGAGGAAAGUCCGAGCUCCAGAGGGCAGAGCGCUGGGUAACGCCCAGGCGGAGCGAUCCGACGGAAAGUGGCACAGAAAAGACACCGCCCUCGUCGGACGGCUGCGCUGCAGACAGCCGUUGGGAUGGGGGUAAGGGUGAAAAGGUGGGGUAAGAGCCCACCAGCGGUGUGGUGACACACUGGCUAGCUAAACCCCGCUUGGAGCAAGCCCGAAUAGGGGAGCGAAGAGGCGGCCCGCCGAGCUCCCGGGUAGGGUGCAUGAGGUUGCUGGCAACAGCAACCCUAGCUAAAUGAUCAUCACCGGUGCGAGCACCGGAACAGAACUCGGCUUACAGAC